rnacentral:sRNA from 12 species
UGGUGAGUAAGUCCUUCUGAAAGGAUGAUGUCCACGUAGGUGGAAUGGGAGCGAGUAGGAAAGGGUUCACCA